rnacentral:lncRNA from 1 species
CGGUGCACAAAUAGGACUACUUUAUUGCCAUGAAAGGGCAAUUUUGAUAUACCAAGUUAUGGUGUUGGAGUAUGGAACAUGAGGCACUUUCUGAGCGUUCUAUGGAACAACUGAAUAAGUUGUGAAAAAUCUCAUUGAAAUAAUGUUGCAAGCACUGAUCUCAAUGUCAAAUAUCAUGCUCCUACAAUAUAUAGAACGGAACGUUAGCUAUGAAAUGAAUUUAAAUUGCAUUGUUUUAUUGGUAAUAGGC